rnacentral:rRNA from 1 species
UGCCAGACUCCUACGGGAGGCAGCAGUGAGGAAUAUUGGUCAAUGGUCGGGAGACUGAACCAGCCAAGCCGCGUGAGGGAGGAAGGUACAGAGUAUCGUAAACCUCUUUUGUCAGGGAACAAAGGCGGGGACGUGUCCCCGGAUGAGUGUACCUGAAGAAAAAGCAUCGGCUAACUCCGUGCCAGCAGCCGCGGUAAUACGUAGGGGGCAAGCGUUAUCCGGAUUCACUGGGUGUAAAGGGAGCGUAGACGGCGAGACAAGUCUGGAGUGAAAGGCCGGGGCCCAACCCCGGGACUGCUCUGGAAACUGCCUGGCUGGAGUACAGGAGAGGUAAGUGGAAUUCCUAGUGUAGCGGUGAAAUGCGUAGAUAUUAGGAGGAACACCAGUGGCGAAGGCGGCUUACUGGACUGUAACUGACGUUGAGGCUCGAAAGCGUGGGGAGCAAACAGGAUUAGAUACCCCGGUAUC